rnacentral:rRNA from 1 species
AAAUGAAUAGACGGGGGCCCGCACAAGCAGUGGAGUAUGUGGUUUAAUUCGAAGCAACGCGAAGAACCUUACCAGGGCUUGACAUCAUCUUGAAGCAUAUAGAGAUAUAUGCGCCCAUUUGGGCAGGAUGACAGGUGGUGCAUGGUUGUCGUCAGCUCGUGUCGUGAGAUGUUGGGUUAAGUCCCGCAACGAGCGCAACCCCUGUUGUUAGUUGCCAGCACGUAAAGGUGGGCACUCUAACGAGACUGCCGGUGACAAAUCGGAGGAAGGUGGGGACGACGUCAAAUCAUCAUGCCCCUUAUGUCCUGGGCUACACACGUACUACAAUGGCUGUUACAGCAGGGAGCGAAGUCGCGAGGCGGAGCAAAUCCCGAAAAGCAGCCCCAGUUCGGAUUGCAGGCUGCAACUCGCCUGCAUGAAGUCGGAAUUGCUAGUAAUGGCAGGUCAGCAUACUGCCGUGAAUACGUUCCCGGGCCUUGUACACACCGCCCGU